rnacentral:sRNA from 12 species
CCUGUGGAGUGUUAUAGCAAACGAAAGUAGUCGCAGUUUGACGAAAUCGGACACAAGGAAGCAGGAA